rnacentral:miRNA from 1 species
GUUGUUAUGUGUUGACAUCACUACCAGGUUUCACAGCGUUUCAAUGGAAACGCUGGGAACUUGUAGAUUGAUGACAACAAAUACUACAACA